rnacentral:rRNA from 1 species
CCUAGGGUGGCUGCAGUGGGGGAUAUUGCACAAUGGGCGAAAGCCUGAUGCCGCAACGCCGCGUGGGGGAAGACGGUUUUCGGAUUGUAAACCUCUGUCUUUGGUGAAGAAAGAAAUGACGGUAGCCGAGGAGGAAGCCACGGCUAACUACGUGCCAGCAGCCGCGGUAAUACGGAGGUGGCAAGCGUUGUCCGGAAUUACUGGGUGUAAAGGGAGCGCAGGCGGGAGAGCAAGUCAGCUGUGAAAACUAUGGGCUUAACCCAGAAACUGCAGUUGAAACUGU